CUGGCAGCUCUCAGGCUCCGUGCAGUAGAUAAGGUCCCUUAUUCAGUGCUCCGGGCAUCUGCAGGACAUCGUGGAGAGAAGCAGGAUUGCAAACCAAACCCCACCCCAUGGCUCCUGAGCUGCCAAGACUAGAAAUCCCACAUCCUCACAGCAUCACCAGAAGGCCAGGUUCAGAGGAGGAGAAUCACCUGCCAAGUUCUCCAGGCUGGUGGCAGUGGUGAGUCCCAGGGUAGAACCAGCCAGAACAUCACUGCUUUCUGGGAGAAGACAGGGAUGUCUUCUUUGUGUACCAAAGGCCUGCCGUCCUGUGCUCUCAGUGUCCUCAGGGCCUGCCUGUGCUUCUCUCCAAGUCGAUCUCUCUGUCUCCCCAAAUCUCAGCAAGUUGAAGCAUUUUUCUGACCUUGAUACCACCACCCUCCAAGCCUCCUUGUCCACAGGAAUAACCUUCUGGAUUUUCUUAAGAAUCUAUAAAACAGUAGGUGCCAGGUGUGGUUUAUAUGCGCAGAUAGAGACAGGCUAGUCUCUCAAAAAGCAGUGGAGAACAGCCGGCUUCCAGGGCUAAGGAAAGGCAAAGAAAGACUUCUGUGGAAAUGGGUCUGUUUCAGGCUCCUUUUCUAUUUAGCUCAGUGGGGUCUUGGGUCCUCCUAGGCCAUAAUCUAUCUUCUUGCCCAAUUGGUAGUCACUUCAAAAGAUGAGCUAGAAGCCAACGGCUCACACCUAUAUUCCUAGCUACUCAAGAGGCAGAGAUCUGAGAUCCCAGUUUAAAGCUAGCCUGGCAAACAAAUCCAAGAGACUCUUGCCUUCAACUAACUAGCAAAAAGCCAGAAGUGGAGGUACGGCUCAAGUGGUAGAGUACCAAGCUUGAGGAGGUGAAGGGGUAGAAGUUAAGCAAGAGCUCAAAGUCCUGAGCUCAAACCCCAUUAUUGGCAUCAGAGAGAGAGAGAGAGAGAGAGAGAGAGAGAGAGAGAGAGAGAGAGAGAGAGAGAGAGAGACCCCCAACCAAUACACUUACCACUCCCAAGGAGAGGAGACAGCACACAUUCU